rnacentral:rRNA from 1 species
UACGGGGGGGGCAAGCGUUGUUCGGAAUUACUGGGCGUAAAGGGCUCGUAGGCGGCCAACUAAGUCGGACGUGAAAUCCCCAGGCUCAACCUGGGAACUGCGUCUGAUACUGGAUGGCUUGAAUCCGGGAGAGGGAUGCAGAAUUCCAGGUGUAGCGGUGAAAUGCGUAGAUAUCAGGAGGAACACCGGUGGCGAAGGCGCUCAUCUGGCCCAAUACUGACGCUGAAGCGCGAAAGCUAGGGGAGCAAACGGG